GUAUGAAUCACUUAGAGAUCCUGUGGAAAUGCUGAUUCUAAUUCAGAAGGUCUGAUUGAGCCUGAGAUCCUGCAGUUUUAACAAGCUCUCAGGUGAUUCUGAU
rnacentral:pre_miRNA from 1 species